ACUCCCCUAUCAAGGGUCAUGUCCUCGGUAACCUGCAUUCUGGUCAUGUCCUGUCUAAUCACCUCUCCCCAAUGCUUCUUAGGCCUCCCUCUCCCUGGCCGACCACCAACAAUCUCCAGCCGCUCGCAGCUCCUCACCGGAGCAUCGGGGCCCCUCCUCCGAGCAUGUCCGAACCACCUCAGCCUCGCUUCCCGCGUCUUAUAUAUAUGAAACUAAAUAUAUGAGAAUGAUAGUGCAACUAGAUCUCUCAAAAUUAAAGCCAUCAAACUUAUAGUAAAUUAUAAUGACAACGUAGU
rnacentral:lncRNA from 1 species